rnacentral:rRNA from 1 species
GACGAACGCUGGCGGCAUGCCUUACACAUGCAAGUCGAACGGCAGCACGGGUGCUUGCACCUGGUGGCGAGUGGCGAACGGGUGAGUAAUACAUCGGAACGUACCUUAUCGUGGGGGAUAACGCAGCGAAAGUUGCGCUAAUACCGCAUACGCCCUGAGGGGGAAAGCGGGGGACCGUAAGGCCUCGCGCGAUUAGAGCGGCCGAUGUCUGAUUAGCUUGUUGGUGAGGUAAAAGCUCACCAAGGCGAUGAUCAGUAGCUGGUCUGAGAGGACGAUCAGCCACACUGGGACUGAGACACGGCCCAGACUCCUACGGGAGGCAGCAGUGGGGAAUUUUGGACAAUGGGGGCAACCCUGAUCCAGCAAUGCCGCGUGAGUGAAGAAGGCCUUCGGGUUGUAAGGCUCUUUUGUCAGGGAAGAAACAGCAGCUCUAACACAGUCUGCGAAUGACGGUACCUGAAGAAUAAGCACCGGCUAACUACGUGCCAGCCGCCGCGGUAA